rnacentral:rRNA from 1 species
AGGGAAUAUUGCGCAAUGGACGCAAGUCUGACGCAGCAACGCCGCGUGAGUGAAGAAGGCCUUCGGGUUGUAAAGCUCUGUCUAGUGGGAAGAACAGCCAGUCGGUUCAUAGCCGAUUGGUCUGACGGUACCACUGGAGGAAGCACCGGCUAACCUCGUGCCAGCAGCCGCGGUAAUACGAGGGGUGCAAGCGUUGCUCGGAAUUAUUGGGCGUAAAGGGUAGGUAGGUGGUCCUAUUUGUCAAAGGUGAAAUCCCUGGGCUUAACCCAGGACGUGCCUUUGAAACGGUGGGACUGGAGUGCUGGAGAGGGUCGCGGAAUUCCCGGUGUAGCGGUGAAAUGCGUAGAGAUCGGGAGGAACACCAGAGGCGAAGGCGGCGACCUGGACAGUGACUGACGCUAAACUACGAAAGCGUGGGGAGCAAAC